rnacentral:lncRNA from 1 species
CUAUAAUUUCGGGUCUCAUAGGCUUCAAGUGGUGUUAGCAUGGAGAACAUUAGUCAAAACUAAGGCGCAGAGCAUCUCGGCUGCUGAAGAACCUGGAAUGCUGAUCCCAGUACUCUGUCCUUCUCUAUAUCUAAUCUCAGACUAGGACUUUAUGUGAGAUGGGCUUUUUGUGUUUUGAGAUUUUUUUCUCCUUGUCCUAUGUGGACAAGAUAGCUGUGCAAAUCACUUCACAGUGUUCAUCUAGAAAAUAACAGUUUCCAUUUAUAAGGCACUUUAUACAUCUUAUGAUCAUACACAGAUGAGGAAAUUGAGACAGAGGUUUAAUGAUCUGCCCAGCAAGUGUCUGACGCUACACUUAAACUGCACUAUCUAGAUGACUAAAUUCUGGCUUGGAGAGAUGCCCAAACUGCCCAUGCCUCCAACAUGACUCGCUUCCUCAAGACAAUUCUAGGGCCACUCCUCUUCAGGUAUGGAAAGAGUUUUUUACUGGAAUCCAAAUAUCAACCUUGAAUUUCAAGAGUUAAAGAAGACACCUUGCUAGGUGACUUAUGGGCCAAUCAUUUCAGUGAUUCAAGACAAUUCCCAAGAAUUAAUGAUGAAAAAAUGCUGUCCACCUCCUGAGAAAGAACUGUUGAAGUCUGAAUG